rnacentral:rRNA from 1 species
UACGAAGGGGGCUAGCGUUGCUCGGAAUCACUGGGCGUAAAGCGCACGUAGGCGGAUUGCUAAGUCAGGGGUGAAAUCCUGGAGCUCAACUCCAGAACUGCCUUUGAUACUGGCGACCUUGAGUCCGGGAGAGGUGAGUGGAACUGCGAGUGUAGAGGUGAAAUUCGUAGAUAUUCGCAAGAACACCAGUGGCGAAGGCGGCUCACUGGCCCGGUACUGAUGCUGAGGUGCGAAAGCGUGGGGAGCAAACAGG